GAUGAACGCUGGCGGCGUGCCUAAUACAUGCAAGUCGAGCGAACAGACGAGGAGCUUGCUCCUCUGACGUUAGCGGCGGACGUGUGAGUAACACGUGGAUAACCUACCUAUCAGACUGGUAUAACUUCGGGAAACCGGAGCUAAUCCCGGAUAAUAUCUUGAACCGCAUGGUUCAAUAGUGAAAGACGGCUUUGCUGUCACUUAUAGAUGGAUCCGCGCCGCAUUAGCUAGUUGGUAAGGUAACGGCUUACCAAGGCAACGAUGCGUAGCCGACCUGAGAGGGUGAUCGGCCACACGGGAACGGAGACACGGUCCAGACUCCUACGGGAGGCAGCAGUAGGGAAUCUUCCGCAAUGGUCGAAAGCCUGACGGAGCAGCGCCGCGUGAGUGAUGAAGGUCUUCGGAUCGUAAAACUCUGUUAUUAGGGAAGAACAAAUGUGUAAGUAACUAUGCACGUCUUGACGGUACCUAAUCAGAAAGCCACGGCUAACUACGUG
rnacentral:rRNA from 1 species